rnacentral:rRNA from 1 species
UACACUCCUACGGGAGGCAGCAGUGGGGAAUAUUGGACAAUGGGCGAAAGCCUGAUCCAGCAAUGCCGCGUGAGUGAAGAAGGCCUUCGGGUUGUAAAGCUCUUUUGUCAGGGAAGAAACGGUGAGAGCUAAUAUCUCUUGCUAAUGACGGUACCUGAAGAAUAAGCACCGGCUAACUACGUGCCAGCAGCCGCGGUAAUACGUAGGGUGCAAGCGUUAAUCGGAAUUACUGGGCGUAAAGCGUGCGCAGGCGGUUUUGUAAGUCUGAUGUGAAAUCCCCGGGCUCAACCUGGGAAUUGCAUUGGAGACUGCAAGGCUAGAAUCUGGCAGAGGGGGGUAGAAUUCCACGUGUAGCAGUGAAAUGCGUAGAUAUGUGGAGGAACACCGAUGGCGAAGGCAGCCCCCUGGGUAAAGAUUGACGCUCAUGUACGAAAGCGUGGGGAGCAAACAGGAUUAGAAACCCUUGUAGUCCCA